rnacentral:lncRNA from 1 species
GACCGCAAUUCACAAAAGAGACCCUCCAUGUAUUUUUUCAUCUUCCUCACCCCCAUCUUCUCACAAGAAUGGAGCAGCCAUAAAUGACCAGCAAACUCGCCAGAAAACCUCCAACAGCCAUCGCUCCUUUACCACCAUAAUUGGCCGGAAUCUGGCGACCAUACACACACAUACAGCAAAAAAAAAAGACACGGGAAAAAUGAAGGAAAAAGACUAGAUAAUGGGAGCAAAACACACACACACAGAUAGUAGAGAGGAAAACAAAGAGAGCUAACGUAACAUUGAUCACUUUCUUCUUCUUCCGAGCUGUUAACCCUCCAUAAGAAUGACAAAAAUAGAACAACGAAUUCAGAUUUUGUUUGGAUUUUGAUUCUGAUAGUCACUUUUUUGAUUUCAUCUUAGUUCAUUGAUAUUAAGGAAAAGAUUUCGGUUGAUUUUUAGCUUCUGUUUUGAUUUCAUAUUUGAAAAAUGCAAUGAAAAUUCUAGCUAUUCUUUUGGGCUUGGCUUUCGAAACGAGUAUGGGACAAUAGCAAACUAGUGGAGUUUUGCGAGCACGAGAGGAGCUUGAAUCUGGUUUCAAGCUUUGCUUGGGUUUUCAGUUAUUGUCCAUUCAUUAUCUUUUUGAAUCGUGACAGAGAUACUUCCGAGAUCGAGGUAUUGGUUAGAGGUUGUCCGGGUUAGAUCCAUUCGAAGUUUCGUUUCUAGCUCAAGGUUCUGGUCUUUAGUUUGUUAUUGAAUUACUCCAUCGGGGAUUUUCGUUUGUUAUUCACGUUAAGAGAUAAGCAGCAGUAAAGGUCCAUCUCUUAAUUCUCUUAUUACCUCUUCAAUUUGGUGGCAUAAAAUAUGAUAUUGAGUUUUAGUUUAGAUUGCAUUUAACAUGAAAUCUCUACUAUUGUUGUUGUUGUUGCAUUUUCAAUUGGAAUCUGUUAGUUUUAUAUUUGUUGUGGUGGUAAAUGAAUGCUCUGUUUCAUGUGUCAUUCUUAUGUGAUUGACUCCGCAAAGAAUUGAAUUUCAUGGUUGUUUACUUUAUGCUCGUAUCUAUCACUGCUUAUGGUUUGUACAGGCUACUUUAUGUCGUUAGUGAAAUCUGGUUGUCUAAACACUUAGGAAAUUUUGGUAUAACCUUAGCUAUGUGUUAAUGGAGGGUUCCAGUUUGAUAAUUUGGUAUUUUGCUAAUUUUGAACAAGUGAAAUCUUUUGUGUAUGGUUUGUGUGAUAUCUUCCUUCUAGUUGAUGAUUUAUGUUUAUUUACUGAUUAAUUGCAAUAUUAUUGUUGGAUGCCUGCAGUAUCACUUUAAAAGUACGGUUUUCGUGGCGUAGUUGUGACACCCAAUUAGUGUUAAAUAUAACCAUCCCUAGUUAAAUGUUUUUCUUUAAUAAAUUUAAGUUGUGCCAUCCAAGCACUUAGCAUAUGGCCCUCACUUGCUUAAUGUUAAUCCUUUGGAAAUUGAGGCGUGCCAUUUAGCGAAUUUUCCAUGGCUCUCACAAACUUGAAAAUGCAUAGUUGCUUUAGGCGCGUUAGUUUAAUAAUUUGCCUUCCUAAACUCGGGUGCGCAUUUAUGUGACCCAAAUCCAAAUCUCAACAAUGUUAGAUAAAAUAUGUCAAGGACCGCGAGUGCAUUUAUGUGACGUGGUUCAAGAUGUGUUUUAGAUGACAUUGAAUAUUUCCUAAAAAUAAUAAUUCAAUAAAAGCGUCUCAAAAGUUUAAAAUUGCACCGUAGGUUAAAUUAUGUAUUAAAAUCAUAUAAUAGGCUAAUUAUAAUAGUUUAGCGACCAUGCUAUAACUACGAAACUCGCGAAUGACUAAUACCUUUUUCCGGGUUAAUAGAAUUCCUUACUCGAAUUUAUGUGUUCGCAGACUGUGAAACAGAGUCAAUCGUUUCCUCGAUUCAGGAUUUGAAUCGAUAACUUGUGACACUAUAAAUAUUCCAAGUGGCGACUUUGAAAUAUUAGUAAAAUAAUCCCGUUUCAAUUGUCACUUUAUGUUAAAAAAACUCCUUUAUACCUUCUUCCGGGGGUUUAGGAAAAAAAAGAGGCGUGACAGCUCUGGCGAUUGACAAGAACCCAGAAUUUCUGGUUCAGAGUUCAAGAAUUCGAGCUUAGAAUAGUUGUUGUAUUUGGCUUUGUUUAUUAUAUGAUUUAUUACAUGGUUGGGCCUAAUGUGCUAAAUGUUGCUUUUUACCGCUUUGAUAUUCUCGGAAAUGUAUAUAUAAACUGCUACGAAACCCCUUUCUUCUUUCUCCUGAGGAGUGCACGUUGGCGUGACUUCUUUCUGUUAGUGUCAUACCCCAAAUAGGAUGACGUUCAGACAAGUUUCAAAGCCGGAUAAUCUUUUGGUUUGUGGUACGCAGCCCCCCCCUGGCUCGAGCUGUCCACUCAGUUAAGCCAUGUCUAGAAUAAAUAAACUCUGGUUUUUAAACAUAAUAACUCAGCCUCAUAACGGAUCCUUAGUAGGAAUGUUUGUUUGCAUCACGUGCAUUUCACUUAGGAGACUCAAUAGAAGAGUUGGGUCCGUCUAGGACAAGUGUACCAAAAAUGAUAGACCAUCCUGAUACAUCCUAUGUGCUACAUGUUACCUUUCUUGAGGGGUAAAAGAGACGUUUGACAGACCAAUGAUAGUUGAGGGCAAAAUGAAAAAUAAGACCGAGAGGUUGAAGUGUGAAAUAAAGCGAGUAGGGCUCAAUCAUGUUUUCUGUUACAUUUAUAUUAAGAAAAAGACAAAAAAGAAAAGGAUGAAAAAUUAAAAUCUUUAUUACACUAUUUCAUAUUUUUCAAAAAUCAAAAAUCAAAAAAGGUGGGAAAAGAAAAUCUAAAAAGAGUACAUGUUUCAUCCUUUUUCAAAACAAAAGAUAAAAAAAUAUGUCUUCUCUUAAUUAGUUGUUUUUUUGUUAUUUCUCGACCGUAUCCAAUCUACCCAAACUACGCAUACUUGAUUUUCGUCUUUCGGGGCGUAAUACGUAGGCAACCCACAUAGGGUCCAGUCUUCUUAGUAAAUCUUAGGUUCUUGGCUUUGCGGGAUCUUAGCCAAAUUUUGUACCUCUAACCACCUUCUGACCAAAUAAGCCAUUUUGCAAAAAUAACCUCAAUCAUGUCUUACAUGUGUCCAAUAAGGAGUGUUAUUGUCUCACAUAGUGUUGGUUUAUAGUUUCUUCAUACAGGUGUGGAUUUAUCUACCAGAGUUUGAGCAUAACAGAUAUCCUAGGAUCACUGCAUUCAGGAGCUGCUCGAG